rnacentral:rRNA from 1 species
UCAGUACGGCGAGUGAGCGGCAAAAGCUCAAAUUUGAAAUCUGAGGCUUUCAGCCCCCGAGUUGUAAUUUGAAGAUGGUGUUCUGGUGCCGGCCCCCUGUCUACGUUCCUUGGAACAGGACAUCACAGAGGGUGAGAAUCCCGUCUGGCGGGGCGGCCUGGCUCCGUGUAGAGCGCCAUCGACGAGUCGAGUUGUUUGGGAAUGCAGCUCUAAGUGGGUGGUAAAUUCCAUCUAAAGCUAAAUAUUGGCGAGAGACCGAUAGCGAACAAGUACAGUGAUGGAAAGAUGAAAAGAACUUUGAAAAGAGAGUGAAAAAGUACGUGAAAUUGUUGAAAGGGAAGGGUAUUGGAUCAGACUUGGUGCUGUGCGAAUAGCGGCCCUUCUUGGGCUGCCCACUCGCACUCCACCGGGCCAGCAUCGGUUUGGGCGGCAAGACAAUGGCGGGGGAACGUGGCACUGCUCUCGGGCAGUGUGUUUAUAGCCCCCGCUGAUGUUGCCUGCCUAGACCGAGGACUGCGGCUUCUGCCUAGGAUGCUGGCGUAAUGAUCCAACACCGCCCGUCUA